UUUAAGGAAACGUGGUUGCCCGGGUCGCUGAGUUAGAUGACUGGGCGCGACAAAGAUUGCGCCCAGAUAAACAAGCAAGACACACUCUCAGUAAGUAAUUGAAAAAGACUUGCACAUUGUGCACCCAGACUCCUAGCAACUUCUUCCAGAGAGGAUGUCUCCAGACCUCAUGUUUGUACUGCAUCUUCUUUUUCAAUCUUAAAGAAAUGAAGAAUCUCACGUGGCUGUCAUUGCAGUUGUCAAAGAACCCUGACUGAUACACAGCUGCAUCAGAUGACUUGGAAAGCAUGCUGUCCUAAAAAGAAUGAACCUAUUAAGGCUCAAAUUAUGGUGUAAAAAUAUAAGUACCAUCAGUAAAUACUGGGGUGAACUUUGAGUAAUUGUCGUCUGAGAUCCACAUCUCAGACGUGCAAAAAAAAAAAAAAAAAAGCGACAAACCUGCGAUAGAUCAAGGUAAAACAAGAAGACAGGAUAGUCCCUGAGUCUGGACAGUGAAAGAAG